rnacentral:rRNA from 1 species
CGCCUCUUGAUAAAUUAUAAGAGGUCCAGCCUGCCCAGUGACAAAGUUCAACGGCCGCGGUACCCUAACCGUGCGAAGGUAGCAUAAUCACUUGUUCUUUAAAUAAGGACUAGUAUCAACGGCACCACGAGGGCCAUACUGUCUCCUUUCUCCAAUCAGUGAAACUGAUCUCCCCGUGAAGAAGCGGGGAUUAACAUAUAAGACGAGAAGACCCCAUGGAGCUUUAAACUCAUCAUACACCUCUAUUUAUCUACAUCAUUAUACUCUAAAAGAUUUGUAUGCUGGUUUUAGGUUGGGGGGACCGCGGAGUAAAAACUAACCUCCACGACAAAUGGGCUAUGCCCUUAUCCGAGAACUACAAUUCUAAGAAUCAAUAAACUGAUGUUUAAUGACCCGAACAAUCGAUCAACGAACCAAGUUACCCUGGGGAUAACAGCGCAAUCUACUUCAAGAGCCCCUAUCGACAAGUAGGUUUACGACCUCGAUGUUGGAUCAGGGUAUCCCAGUGGUGCAGCCGCUACUGAAGGUUCGUUUGUUCAACGAUUAAAACCCU